GACGAACGCUGGCGGCGUGCUUAACACAUGCAAGUCGAACGGAGUUACGUAUGAAGUAUUUCGGUACGGACUACAUAACUUAGUGGCGAACGGGUGAGUAACACGUGGGCAACCUGCCCUUAACCGGGGGAUAACAUUGUGAAAACAGUGCUAAUACCGCAUAACAGAGUAUCGGGCAUCCGAUAUUUUUAAAAGGAGCAAUCCGGUUUAGGAUGGGCCCGCGUCCAAUUAGCUAGUUGGUGAGGUAACGGCUCACCAAGGCUACGAUUGGUAGCCGAACUGAGAGGUUGAUCGGCCACAUUGGGACUGAGACACGGCCCAGACUCCUACGGGAGGCAGCAGUGGGGAAUAUUGGGCAAUGGGCGAAAGCCUGACCCAGCGACGCCGCGUGAAGGAUGAAGGUCUUCGGAUUGUAAAACUUCUUUGAUCAGGGAAGAAAGAAAUGACGGUACCUGAAGAACAAAGCCACGGCUAACUACGUUG
rnacentral:rRNA from 1 species